AGUGAACGCUGGCGGCAGGCCUAACACAUGCAAGUCGAGCGGCAGCGCGUCCGACCACCCUCGGGUGGUCGGAUGGCGGCGAGCGGCGGACGGGUGAGGAAUGCAUCGGAAUCUGCCUCGUUGUGGGGGAUAACGUAGGGAAACUUACGCUAAUACCGCAUACGACCUACGGGUGAAAGUGGGGGACCUUCGGGCCUCACGCGAUGAGAUGAGCCGAUGCCGGAUUAGCUAGUUGGCGGGGUAAAGGCCCACCAAGGCGACGAUCGAUAGCUGGUCUGAGAGGAUGAUCAGCCACACUGGAACUGAGACACGGUCCAGACUCCUACGGGAGGCAGCAGUAGGGAAUAUUGGACAAUGGGGGCAACCCUGAUCCAGCCAUGCCGCGUGAGUGAAGAAGGCCCUCGGGUUGUAAAGCUCUUUUGUCCGGAAAGAAAGCAUCUGGUUAAUACCCGGGUGUUCUGACGGUACCGAAGAUAAGCACCGGUAACUUCGUGCCAG
rnacentral:rRNA from 1 species